rnacentral:rRNA from 1 species
GGUGGAGCGAUUUGUCUGGUUAAUUCCGAUAACGAACGAGACUCUAGCCUGCUAAAUAGUGAGUGGAUCGCCUCGUCCACUUAACUUCUUAGAGGGACAAACGGCGCUUAGCCGUACGAAAUUGAGCAAUAACAGGUCUGUGAUGCCCUUAGAUGUCCGGGGCUGCACGCGCGCUACACUGAAGGAAUCAGCGUGCAUACUAACCUGGUCCGAAAGGACCGGGUAACCCGAUCAAACUCCUUCGUGAUUGGGAUAGGGACUUGCAAUUAUUUCCCUUGAACGAGGAAUUCCCAGUAAGUGCGGGUCAUAAGCUCGCGUUGAUUACGUCCCUGCCCUUUGUAC